rnacentral:rRNA from 1 species
GAAUCCGCYAAGGAGUGUGUAACAACUCACCUGCCGAAUGGAUUAGCCCUGAAAAUGGAUGGCGCUUAAGCGGGCAGCCGAUACCACGCCGUUUGUUUAAUAUACAACAGAUGAGUAGGAGGGCGUGGAGGUCGUAUCGAAGCAUGCGUGCGAACGUGUGUGGAACGGCCUCUAGUGCAGAUCUUGGUGGUAGUAGCAAAUAUUCAAGCGAGAUCCUUGAAGGGCGAAGCGGGGAAGGGUUCCACGCGAACAUUGAUUGGGCGUGGGUGAGUCGUUCCUAAGCCGGGUGGUAAUGGCUGUCUAGCGGCGAAAGGGAAGCGGGUUGAAAUUCCCGCACACGGAUGUGGAGGCGGUGACGCUUUAAUGAGACGAGCAUGUUGGCGGUUGCACUGGGCAGAGAUUUCUUUUCUGUUUAACCAGCUCGCGCGCUGUGUGGAAUCCGCUUGUCGGGAGAAACACGCGUUCCGGGUAAGAGCGCCGGGCCUUUUCCGGCGUCCAGCUCGCGACCGACGACCCUUGAAAACUUGUCUGCUGUAUUAAGAUCCACGCCGUGGCGUACCGAUAACCGCAUCAGGUCCCCAAGGUGAACAGCCUCUGUCUAAUAUGAAAAAUGCAGGUAAGGGAAGUCGGCA